UACGUAGGGUGCAAGCGUUGUCCGGAAUUAUUGGGCGUAAAGAGCUCGUAGGCGGUUCGUCGCGUCGGCUGUGAAAACCUGAGGCUCAACCUCAGGCCUGCAGUCGAUACGGGCGGACUUGAGUACUGCAGGGGAGACUGGAAUUCCUGGUGUAGCGGUGAAAUGCGCAGAUAUCAGGAGGAACACCGGUGGCGAAGGCGGGUCUCUGGGCAGUAACUGACGCUGAGGAGCGAAAGCGUGGGGAGCGAACGGG
rnacentral:rRNA from 1 species